rnacentral:rRNA from 1 species
CCUACGGGAGUCAGCAGUGAGGAAUAUUGGUCAAUGGACGAGAGUCUGAACCAGCCAAGUAGCGUGAAGGAUGACUGCCCUAUGGGUUGUAAACUUCUUUUAUAUGGGAAUAAAAUGUUCCACGUUUGGGAUUUUGUAUGUACCAUAUGAAUAAGGAUCGGCUAACUCCGUGCCAGCAGCCGCGGUAAUACGGAGGAUCCGAGCGUUAUCCGGAUUUAUUGGGUUUAAAGGGAGCGUAGGUGGAUUGUUAAGUCAGUUGUGAAAGUUUGCGGCUCAACCGUAAAAUUGCAGUUGAAACUGGCAGUCUUGAGUACAGGAGAGGUGGGCGGAAGUCGUGGUGUAGCGGUGAAAUGCUUAGAUAUCACGAAGAACUCCGAUUGCGAAGGCAGUUCACUGGACUGCAACUGACACUGAGGCUCGAAAGUGUGGGUAUCAAACAGGAUGAGAUACCCUUGUAGUC